CAUUCAUUGGCUGAGAGCAUUGGCUGACUGUCCAUCAAUGAUUGGCAACUGAGUGCAGCCGGCCUGAUGACGCUGCCAGAGAUGGUGUUAGCACAGGCAGCAGAGGGGUUAAUCUCUGUAUGUCCAGUAUUUCAUAGUGAAACAUUGCGCACAAACUGCACGGACCAUAUCCACUUCAAAUCACUGGCCAUGGUGUAACCCUUCGAUGGUAGUAUGGUAGUAUCUGAUGACCGGUCUACCUUCAAGAUGUCCUGUAAUAACAUGUCCUCGUCAGAAUUACAUCACUAACGGCUAAGGACACAUCCAGCUGAAAUAGGGGAGAUUGCUCGACUAAACCAAAAUCAAUAACUG